UUCGCGUCUGCCUCGUUUCCUCUCUAGGAAGCUCUAGAAGUUGAGCAGCUUUGUAUUAGUUCCUGGGCAGUGUCAGUCUUCUCGACACAAAUUGUUCUCGCAGCUUCCAGAAAUAAAUGCCAUAUAUUAGACGCUCCACUUCACACCAAAAAUAAAUGCCAUAAUCUUCGCGUCUGCCCCGUUUCCUCUCUAGGAAGCUCUAGAAGUUGAGCAGCUUUGUAUUAGUUUCUGGGCAGUGUCAGUCUUCUCGACACAAAUUGUUCUCGCAGCUUCCAGUCCUAUUCUCUCUCUGCUCAGCCUGCUUCCAUCUCUCUUCGUCGCCGCUCUAAGCAGAAUGUCUGAACCAGCAUACACUGUGGCAUCUGAUAGUGAAACCACAGGAGAGGAGAAAACUUCUUCUGCUUUUCCAGAAAUUGCAAUUGGAAUUGACAUUGGCACUGCCCAAUGCAGUGUUGCAGUCUGGAAUGGCUCCCAAGUAGAGCUUCUUAAAAAUACUAGAAACCAAAAAAUGAUGCGAUCAUAUGUCAACUUCAAAGAUGAUGUCCCUUUAGGGGGUGUCAGCAAUCAACUCUCCCAUGAACAUGAAAUGUUAUCUGGAGCAGCAAUCUUCAACAUGAAACGCUUAAUUGGUCGGGCUGACACUGAUCCAGUUGUUCAUGCAAGCAAAAGCCUUCCAUUUUUGGUACAAACAUUGGACAUUGGUGUCCGACCGUUUAUUGGAGCCUUGGUUAACAAUGUCUGGAGAUCCACCACUCCUGAAGAAGUCCUGGCAAUAUAUCUGUUGGAGUUAAGAGCAAUGGCUGAAGUUGCGUUAAAGCGGCCCAUAAGAAAUGUUGUUCUGACCAUUCCUGUUUCAUUUAAUCGCUUCCAGGUGACCCGGAUUGAACGUGCUUGUGCCAUGGCUGGCCUUCAUGUCCUAAGACUGAUGCCUGAACCAACAGCUGUGGCACUAUUAUAUGCACAGCAGCAGCAACAGACUAUACAUGACAAUAUGGGCAGUGGAAGUGAGAAGAUUGCACUCAUAUUCAAUAUGGGUGCUGGCUAUUGUGAUGUAGCUGUUACCGCUACAGCGGGAGGAGUUUCGCAGAUAAAAGCCUUGGCAGGAAGUCCUAUAGGAGGUGAAGACAUGCUUCAGAAUAUGAUGCGUCAUCUGUUGCCCGACUCAGAGAUCCUCUUCUCAAACCAUGGAAUCAGUGAGAUCAAAUCGAUGGGAUUGCUUCGAGUAGCAACCCAGGAUGCAAUCCACAAGCUCACCUCCCAGACCAGUGUUCAAAUCGAUGUUGACUUAGGAAAUGGGUCAAAAAUAUGUAAGGUUGUGGACCAGGAGGAAUUCCAGGAAGUCAACAAAAAGGUGUUUGAGAAGUGCGAGAGCCUCAUCAUCCAAUGCUUGCGUGAUGCCAAGGGAGAACCUGAAGAUGUGACUGACAUAAUUGCCGUAGGUGGAUGUUCAUAUAUUCCAAAGAUAAGGAAUCUUCUCAUGAGUAUAUGUAAAAAACAGGAGCUUUACAAAGGGAUGAACCCAUUGGAAGCUGCUGUCUGUGGGGCAGCACUAGAGGGAGCAGUGGCUUCAGGUGUCAAUGAUCCCUUUGGGAAUUUGGACCUGUUAACCAUUCAAGUCACUCCUCUGGCCAUUGGGAUUCAAGCUGUUGGAAACAAUUUUGUACCCAUUAUACCUAGAAACACUACAAUGCCAGCACGGAAAGAGCUUGUUUUCACAACUGUCCAUGAUAAUCAAACUGGGGCACUGAUUGUUGUUUAUGAAGGUGAAGAGAAGAAGGUGGAAGGGAACCAUCUGCUGGGCUAUUUCAAGAUCAUAGGUAUUCCACCAGCUCCCAGGGGAGUUCCAGAGAUAAAUGUGUGCAUGGACAUUGAUGCCUCAAAUGUUUUGAGAGUUCUGGCUGGGGUUGUACUGCCAGGGUCUCAACAUCAUGGAAUUCCUGUCAUGGAAGUCAGGAUGCCAACAGUUGAUGAUGGGCAUGGCUGGUGUGCCGAAGCUCUACAUAGAACUUAUGGGUCUAGCCUGGACUUAGAUACAGUUCAGAAGAAGAUAUAGCGGGGUCUUACCAGAAAGCAGAGGAAAUCAUCUUCAGAGGGAAGGUGGGAUUGAAGUUACCUCCAUCAUCGCAGUAUGAAUUUUGUUUUUACCUGAUUACAUAUUGAUCUGUGUUUUUACAAAAAGGCAUAGGAAAUCACCAGAUGAAGAUGUCGCCUACAUCAAUGAUAUGGAUCACAGUAUUAUCAAUGGCUGUUUUCCACCACUCCAUGGUCUUCGGUGGUGAUCUUGGGAUAAAUUAUGGAAGAACUGGGAAUGAUCUCCCAUCCCCGAAAGCUGUAGUCGAUUUCCUUACUAAAAAUCUAAACUAUGCUAUCCCACUGGUCCGGCUUUUUGAUGCUAAUCUUGAAUUUCUAGAAGCAUUGAGGGGAACCAAUUUGGUUGUAACUGUUGGAGUCCCAAAUGUCCUGCUCACCCACAUAGCAUCAAGCCAAAAUGUUGCCAAUAGCUGGGUUAACGAUCACAUCAAAUCAUUCGUCAGCCCCAAUGGUGUCAAGUUCCGUUAUAUUUUGUUGGCAGCAACGCUAUCCCAUGCAUUGUCGCGUCGUCGGGCCCUCCGGCCAUGGAAAAUAUCUACCAAGCACUAAAAUUAGCAGGAUUAUCGGAUCAUAUUAAAGUUACGACAGCGGUAUACCCUAUUGCACUAAGCAACUCAUACCCUCCAUCCAAUAGCACAUUUUGUUCUGAGGUUGCCGACAUCAUGUACAAAGUGUCAAACUUUUUAUAUGAUAUAGGCUCUCCACUUUCAAUCAAUCGUACCCUUACUUUGCCUUUGCCUCGGAUCCAUCCCUCUUCUCAUUGGAGUAUGCUUCAUUUCGAUGUCAAAAGCUGGUGCUUAUAGACGGCAUUUACGAGUAUUACAAGCUCUUUGAUGCCAUGGUGGAUGCUUUUGUAACAGCAAUGGCAAGGGCAGUGGGGAAGGAGGAUGUCAAAAUUGUGGUUUCUGAAACUGGCUGGCCAACCGAGGGCAAUGAGCCUUGCACAAGCAUUGCCAAUGCCAACAUCUAUAACAGCAAUCUAAAGAAGCAUGUGAUAGAAAAAGGGUGCACCCCACGAAGGGCAGACUUGAAUUUGGAAGCGUACAUAAAUUCAAUGUUCAACGAGAACUAAAAACCUGAUCCAGUUGAACGAUACUUUGGUGCUUUUUAUCCAAACCUUACUGAUGUAUACCGAUUAUGGCGUUGAUGAACUCAGC